GUCACUUGAAACAUGAGGAACACAGACACAGCCCACAAGAGAAGUCAAAGGGAGCAUGGCCUUGGGCACCCACCGCUGACGCUGCACAUCAGCCAUGGACACACGAUCAACAUGUAAUACUGAGGAGUUCACUCACUCCACUGCCCUGGCUGCACUCCAUGAACCUGAAGCAUGCAGAUGGGAUGUUUCCUAAGGCUCUGUUUGACACACAUUGACACGCAUGCAUCCUUGGAAAAAGGGGAACUUAUUCACCCUUCUCCUCAGCUGUUUGCAACGGAGUAGCCUGACCCAAGGGUCACAGGGAUCUGCUGGAGCAUAUCCCAGCAGGCACAGGGAGAACAUGCAAACUCCACACAAAAAGGCCCCUGUCUGUUCGAACACGGGAUCCCAGGACCUUCUUGCUGUGAGGCAACAGUGCUAACCACUAAGCCACUGUGCUACCCUCUGAGAUAAACAACACUUGCAUAAUGCUAUUUAACUUCUGUAAUUUAAGCAACUUUUUAGCGUAUUUUACUUUAAAGUGUUACCAAAAUAUAAUACAUUAUGUAUGGAUACUUUUACUUAGAUCAGCAUUGAUUCCAGUAGAAAUUGGACAGGCAGAAAGUCAGUUGGAAAUUUUGGUUUUGGUUUUACAUCAUAAUUCAAACUGCAUGGCUUUUGACCAACAAACGGAUUUUAUUUAUCCAUAUUUUUUUUAAUGUUAUCUACACUUUUACUUGUACAUAUAAUUUCUUAGUUCGUUUUCUGCUGCACAUUUUAUGUUUCUAUGAUUUAGCUAUGCUUCCUAGUGUUUCAUUAAAAGGGAAUAAACUGGAAAAUCUGCUACUGUAUGUUCAGCAUGUUUUGGUAAAUCUCAUUAAAAUAUAACAAUUCUAUUGGAUUUCAUUGAUUAUAUGCACUCAUUUUACAACAUUUUACUGGAGACUUGAGUUCCUGAUUGUGAUUUAUUAAACAUGAUUACUGUAAAGAUGAUUACAGUGCAGUUACAUUUAGCAUAUUGUCUAGGGCUAUUUAUAUUCAACUAAUUUGAAUUGUAACCUGAUUCAAACAUAAAUUGUGUGAUUUAGGCUGUACUCAUUUACACCAAUUAAAUUUUCUUCUGCUUUGAUUGGUUAACGUUUGUGUUUGUAGUGACUCAUAAUGCUUUUAGUGUGACCCGUUUCCACACAUUUCCAAAAUCAGUAACUUCACCUACAAGGCCCACAUGUGUCAUGAACAACAACAAACAUAUUUGUGAGGCAGUCCAUCCUACUGGUACACUGGAUUCUUAAGUUCUAAAAAUGUUUUGCAAGGAUUUAUUUCUGAUAUUGAUAUGCUCUGUUGUGUUAUUCAUAGGCUACCAACAACUGAAGAGUUCAAAAUAUUAUAAGAGUGGGAUUCCUUCUGACUUUUAAAGCUAUUGCGCUACAACCAGAGAUCAAAAAAGCCCAAAUCUUCAAAUCAUAGUCCCUUCAAAUCAAAGUUAAAAACUGUUAUCCAUUACUUCUGAGUAUUCAGAAGCAAGUACAGUCAAUAACUGUUAUCAUAACUGGGCCUAAAACCUGCUAAAGUUGUAAUAAUCAGUGCCGUAGAUAAGAUGAUAAAUAUGUGGUUAUUAUUCAUUACUUGUUAACUUUAAACAGAAUUGUUAAAAAGUGAAAGGCAUGAACUGCUUUUGAAUAUACUUUGUGUUUUUUCUAUAAUAGGAUUAUAUAAAUAAUAUAAUAUACUCAUGCCAUAUACCUGUUCAUGGUUAUUUGUAAAACAGUUCAUUCAGUCAAUGUCUUUAAUUAAGAAAUUCUGUUAUGCUGAUAUGUUUGUUGGU